ensembl:lncRNA
CGGCUCUUUAUGUGGGGGGACCCAUCUGCCUGCUGGCCGGGCGGGUUGAGAGGGACAGAAGAGAUGUUCAGAGGGAGAUGAUGCCACAUCUGGUCCAGCUGAUGGAAGGUCUUGAAGUUCUCUGACUGGCCUCGACUGAAGAUGGUCGUCUCACUGGAUUUAAGAUGCACGAGGGACGUCUGCAGAGACUGAGAAAGAGUCUCACCACAUCCUGACAUGAGGAAAAAGACUUUAUUGAAGACUACAAUGAGAAAAACUAUCCAGACAGCAGACGUCAUGCAUUCAAGACUGUAGCUGCUGAAUUCAUGGAUGAAUCAUCUGGCACUAGAAAGGAAGACCAUCAAACAUCCACAUCAGCUGAUGGAGGUCCAAGAGUCUCACCGAACAAACAACCUACAGAGUGAAGACCUCGAAUCUGAUUGGACGGCCUCCUAUUCAGCCACGUGUGAACAAAUGCCUCUAAGUUGAUUUGUUUUCUAAAAUAAAUCUAGUUUGAGUCCU